CGGGGGCGACUACCAUGCAGUCGAACGGUAACAGGAAGCAGCUUGCUGUUUCGCUGACGAGUGGCGGACGGGUGAGUAAUGUCUGGGAAACUGCCUGAUGGAGGGGGAUAACUACUGGAAACGGUAGCUAAUACCGCAUAACGUCGCAAGACCAAAGAGGGGGACCUUCGGGCCUCUUGCCAUCGGAUGUGCCCAGAUGGGAUUAGCUUGUUGGUGGGGUAACGGCUCACCUAGGCGACGAUCCCUAGCUGGUCUGAGAGGAUGACCAGCCACACUGGAACUGAGACACGGUCCAGACUCCUACGGGAGGCAGCAGUGGGGAAUAUUGCACAAUGGGCGCAAGCCUGAUGCAGCCAUGCCGCGUGUAUGAAGAAGGCCUUCGGGUUGUAAAGUACUUUCAGCGGGGAGGAAGGGAGUAAAGUUAAUACCUUUGCUCAUUGACGUUACCCGCAGAAGAAGCACCGGCUAACUCCGUGCCAGCAGCCGCGGUAAUACGGAGGGUGCAAGCGUUAAUCGGAAUUACUGGGCGUAAAGCGCACGCAGGCGGUUUGUUAAGUCAGAUGUGAAAUCCCCGGGCUCAACCUGGGAACUGCAUCUGAU
rnacentral:rRNA from 1 species